GGGACGACAGACAGAAACGACCCAAUACCUAUACAGGUAGUGACAGCACUUCGAUUCUAUGCUGUUGGGUCAUUCCAAAAGAUGCAUGGUGAUGAGGCACAACUUUCACAGUCUUCUGUAUGCAGAGUCAUCAAAGACGUGUCCGAAGCGUUUGCAAGAAGAAGGAAACAAUUCAUGAAGUUCCCAACAUCAAGAGAAGAAGUAGAAGCAACACAGCAGCAGUUCUACCAAUACUGCAGGUUGCCAGGUUUUCUAGGUGCGAUUGAUAGGACUCAUGUCUACAUCAGGAGUCCUGGUGGAGAUCAAGCCCUGUAUUUUACUAAUAGGAAGAACAGAUACUCUAUUAAUGAAAUGAAAAUUUUCCCUUUUGUGGAGAUGCUCCCCAUUUACUUUUAAUCCAAUUAAUUAAAUGACCGAUAUGGAAUUGGUUCACCCUUUAAGUUUCUCUGAACGAAACGUACACCCAUGCAGUAUGGUCUGAAACAAUUAGACCGGAUGAUUUGAAAUCUAAUGGUUGAUAUAGUUCCUCCCAAAAAACAUUUUUGCAAAAGGUACCAACCACUUUGAAAGGGAAAUCGUCAUCAUCUUUCAUCAUCAUCAUCAUCAUUACUGAAAUCGUUAUUUGACUGCUUCAUCACCAUCGCCACCGACAACAUUGCUGUCAUCAUUAUCAUACUGACAUCAUCAUCGACUUCAACAUUGUCUUCGUCAAUAACCUUGAAUACUUGUUUUGAUUAUCCAUAUUAAAUCGUCAAUAUUUAAAUAUAAA